rnacentral:miRNA from 1 species
ACCCUGACUUGUGGUAAGAUAAGC